GGAGGGGUGGCUGAGUGGCCGAAAGCACCGGUCUUGAAAACCGGCGACGGGUGACCGUCCCAGGGUUCGAAUCCCUGCCCCUCCGCCA
rnacentral:tRNA from 2 species